UUUCGUGUUAUUCUCUCAUGGAAGCUCAGUGGGUGCAGGUCCCACUCUCUCUUUGUGCAUUCAUGGAUCUGUAAAGCAAGUUGUUGACAGCAGUUUCAUGUUAUUACAGGGAGCUGUGUCUUCCUAUGGGAUACACACAUAAGUUUGAGAUUGCAGAGACAUGUUUUGGAGAGAUGGGGAGCCAUUUAGGAUAAUUGGAGGAGACUUACAUUAUUUUCGAGUGCAUCUUGAGGUUUGUGGUGGAUUAAAUGAGUCGUACGUUGAGCUGAAGAGGCUUGUGAAUUCACAAGAAAAGUUGUACCAUAUGGCUAGCUAGUUGCAUAUUUAAUAUGUUUAGUAUUUUUGUAAGGCAUAAUAGUAUAGAUAGAGCAGUUGUUGAAUUUUGACUAUAUUCAAAUCUUGUAUGAAUUCUUUUUUAUGAUAAUAAUAUAAAAUUAAAUA